rnacentral:tRNA from 1 species
CCUGGUAGCUCAGAUGGUAAAGAAUCUGCCUGCAAUGCAGAAGGUCCAGGUUCAAUCCCUGGGUCAGGA